rnacentral:rRNA from 1 species
GAUGAACGCUGGCGGCGUGCCUAAUACAUGCAAGUCGAGCGAACGGACGAGAAGCUUGCUUCUCUGAUGUUAGCGGCGGACGGGUGAGUAACACGUGGAUAACCUACCUAUAAGACUGGGAUAACUUCGGGAAACCUGAGCUAAUACCGGAUAAUAUUUUGAACCGCAUGGUUCAAAAGUGAAAGACGUUCUUGCUGUCACUUAUAGAUGGAUCCGCGCUGCAUUAGCUAGUUGGUAAGGUAACGGCUUACCAAGGCAACGAUGCAUAGCCGACCUGAGAGGGUGAUCGGCCACACUGGAACUGAGACACGGUCCAGACUCCUACGGGAGGCAGCAGUAGGGAAUCUUCCGCAAUGGGCGAAAGCCUGACGGAGCAACGCCGCGUGAGUGAUGAAGGUCUUCGGAUCGUAAAACUCUGUUAUUAGGGAAGAACAUAUGUGUAAGUAACUGUGCACAUCUUGACGGUACCUAAUCAGAAAGCCACGGCUAACUACGUG